UCUGACUUUAGUAAAGUUGAGAGAAUAAAAUGGUAUAAGAGCACAAAGAGAGGAGCAAUAUAUAUGAAUAAAGUCACAAGUUUUUCUUUGUGGUUUUUGCAUGUAAGCUUAGUUUGGAAAUUAAGAAGAAAAAAAAUGAGAAGCAAAGAAAGGCUAAUUGUGCUUCUGCUCAUGCCUCUGUUUUUCCUUUGCAUUCAUCAACUUUCUGCAACUUCUGUAGGAAGAGAUGAAAGGAUGAAGGAAAAUGAUGAAGAAAGAGGAAGAGCAGUAGCCCACGUCAACAAAUUUGGCCACGGCAGUGUUGGAGGCGGCGGCAAUCCUGUAGUUUCCGGCGGAAACGGUGGCUCACACAGCCCCAGUGGUGGUGGUAUGACGCCGCUGUAUGCAGCCGCCGGCGCCGGUGGGGGAAAUAGCCACCACCCGCACCGCGGCGGAGGAAACUGCGACAGAGGCGGAGCAGGGCUGGAGGCCUUGACCAUAAUUACAUUUGCAUGUUUUCUACUAUAUACUUAAUUAACUAAUAUUUUUUUUAUUUUGAGAUUGUAACAAUCAAUAAAUAUGGUGUGUGUCGGUGUGUGUGUGGUUUUAUUGUGUACAUGACCUUACUGUAGGUUGGUUUUGUUUGCUAGUCUGUUGAUUACAGUCAAAAGUGUAUUAAUUUGCGUAUAAUCAUCGUAGAUAUAAUGAGAAAAUGGAUUAAUUUUAGGUGA